rnacentral:lncRNA from 1 species
UGUACCAUCCCCUCAAUACCCCGUUCAGUAUGAGGGUGAACUAUACCUCCUAACCCUUUCUAGUAUGGGACUUCUUAGCCCCAUCCGAUUGAGAUAAUGUCUACGGUAGGGUUUGUCCUAAGUACCAGGUUCGUACACCAUUUUUCAUGAUACCCGGUAGGCCCUUUAUGCAUAUAAUCACACUAUUAACCAGUCAUUGAUUUCAUACUAGAAUCUUAUUCCAU